GGCCCAUGAUGUGAUGAUAAUAUUUGCUAAUCUGGAUGGUAAGACCAUAUGAUGAAUAUUAUCCACCAAGAUCUCUGAGGUC